AUAAUUACUUCGUUUGACUUUAAGAAGAGAAAAAAGAGAAAUUCCCCCAUAAAUUUCGUCCAAAAAACAUAAAACUAAAAAAACACGUACCAAACCCUAAGAAAAAAAAAACAUAACUCUUCGUUUCCUCAACUCUGUCUUUUGAUUUCGAACAAAAUUUUCGUCUCCUUCACUGAAUCUUUAACCUUGCGUAAUCUUUUGAUUUCAACAACCUAGCCCUAAUCUCUAACCUUGCGUCAAUCUCAAGUAGUUGUUUCGAGGAGGAUUGGGUUCUAUUUCGAAUCAACAGAUAAAUUGAAUUCAGCCCUGAUCUCUUUCGAUCUCAACAGGUACACAAACGAUAACUCUUAACCAGGGUUUGGUUUUGGGGUAAUCUAGCGUUUGGUUUUGGGAAGAACAACUGAGAAUGAGUCUAAAUCGGUAAGAAUGAGAAUGGGUUAAUCGGAGAUGGGGGUUUGAGAGUUCUUGGAUGAUGAUAAGAGUUGGGUUGAGAUCGAUUUGCAACCAGAUGAAGAAAUCAAUCGAGAAAAAAUAUUCCAGUUGCAGAGCUGUUGUUGGUGUUGCUACCAGAGAAGCUACAACAAUGGGGCAAUGGAUUCUGGGGUUGCUGUUGGUGCUGGAUGGCAAAGUGUCAUAGCUUAUGUGAACCUAGCCUGCUAUUACUUGGUCAGAAUUCCUGUUGGAAUGAUCCUCGGUUACCUUAUCAACAAAAGCUAAAUCCAGAGAUCGUCCAGACUUCAAACAACUAAUGAUAUGCUUCCAAUCCAGAGAACAAUUCUACAAUCCAGAAACCAUAAACUUGCCAGAAGCUUAAGGCUUUCCAUUAUGUACCUCUCCCUGUUCUACUUUUCUAUGUUUAAUUCAUCGUCGUUAUCCUUUAUUUUUUAAAUUUUUUUUUGAUUGUUGGUAGUGGGUUCUUUUACAGAUUUUGGAACAGUAAUUACGUAAACCCUAAUUUAUGUUCUACAAUCACAGCAACCCUUUACGUAAACCCUAAUUUAUGUUCCAUGUGCAGUUGAGAUGAACAAAAUUGGAUCAAGUAGAAAUUAGUUAGACUUGAUCAAGUUUGAAGGAUGAACUCUGUGGCGCUAUCAAACUUAAAGUCUAGAUGCAUUCUUAGGGAUUACAGGUAUUCAAGUACAAAGAAGUGAGGCGCAUAGAUUAAGCAGCUUUGUUUUCAUCAGGUGAUGGACUGAGGCCUGGAUCAAUUUAUGAUGCUAAUGACACCGCUCAAUUUGCUGAGCUUUUGACACAAGAAGAGCUAACACGUCGAGCGUGGGAGAAGGACGUACAGGUGAUGAACGAAGGACCUGGGCAUAUUCCACUACACAAAAUCACUGAAAACAUGGACAACAAGUCUACAAGGCAGAAAAUAUAGGUUUUGUGCUUAUAUACUGUCUAAAGCAUCUCUUCAAUAGUUUUUCUUCUUUACUCUAUCUUAUUUGCUUAGACUACAUUCAAUUUGUACAUAAUGAAUUUGUUUGAAUAGUCUUUCUUUUGUUUGCAACUUUUAAUAGAACCCUAAACAGUUAAUGUGGCAUUCUUUACUGCAAGGUUCUGGAAAUCCUAAAAGGAAUUCCCGCGGGGAUAAAAGUAAAACAAAAGCUUGAUGCAAAAGGAUAAUUUCCUUAGGAGUGGUACAUUCUACAAAAAUUACUUGUGCCUCCCAAUUUUCUCUCUGUACCAGAUAUUGUAGAUGUGCUAUCAAAUCUUUAUAGUAAAUUGUUACCAAUUUUUUCCUUCAUUGAUUGUGUGUAUGUUUAGCUUCUGUCGUUCAGCUAAUAAACUUGGUAGUAUAUUAAAUCUGGAAAUUUGUUUAAAGAUAUUUUUGUGUAAAUGUUUUAAGAAAGUUCUCAAGCUAGCUGAAAUCAACAAAAGCUCAAGAUCAGGCCCUCCAAAUUUUAAGUCUCAUGAUGUGGAAGCCAACGAAUUGCGCAAUACCUUCAAGUUAAGGGUAGAACUAAGGUAUGCGUAUUUUACAUUGGUAAGGUUGAUGAUGUCCUGUUACUUAUGCAAACUGUGAAUCACUAUUAACUGUUUUAUAGGACAGAAAAAGGAAUAGUUGUUGAACUCUUUUCAUGCUAUAAAUUGAGAAAUUUCUGCUCAUAUAUGAACUUGGUGAGCAUUUGUACGUCUACGGUUCCUUGCACAAAUCCUUAUACCCAGUUAGACGUGUUAAUUCUAACCCAAUUCUAGCUGGGAAAACUAAUGCCUUUCCAGUUGAUAUUGCUGCUCGGCUAGCUUCCAAAAGUAAUUUAUGUGGCAGUCAUUCGUUUCAUUGUCCAUAUAUAUUUGGUGAACUAGAAAGUUGUAGGUAUAUUCAAUUUUUCAGGACGCCUAUCCACAACAGUAAAGGGCGAUACAAAGGAACGAUGAGGUCUAUAAUAAAGCUUAAGCAUUACGCAGCAUCAAGAAUGGGAACGAUGAGAAACUAUGUAUAAAUCAGCACCAACAUAUGGCGCUAGCCUUCUCGGUGUAGCUGUUACAUGUUCAUGACCCAACAAUCAUGAAUCCUAAAAAACAUAAUUGUUGAAAGAGGUUAACACAAGCGGAGAAUAGGUUUUAUCUAACUCAAAUAUAUAUCUAUUCUUUUUAUUUUUUGUAUACACAUUAUGUUUUAGUUCAUGCUCUAAAUGUGAGCUUAUUUUUCUUAUUUUUCAGUUAAAUUGCAUUUAGUUAUAUCUAUUUUUUUGUAUACAGAGUUUGUGACAAAGCACACCUUGGUUUUGUCGUACCAUUUCCUUCAUAUUUGUUGCGGUGCAUGUUAUGUAUCAUACGUAGGUACUGAAUGUAUCUCUGUUCAACUUAGAAAGCACAUUGUAGUUUCCAAGUAUACUAGAUUGUGGUGCCCUUUUGUUCCUAAUGAGAAGCAGAGUCGGACCUUCAUAAUCUUAUCUCAUGUAGUGACCACAACAUAUUUGCUUUUACAAUUCUUUUCUGUUAAUUUUCAGUAUACAUAAGUGGGGGAUUCAGGUGGCAGUACCAGUUGCCAAAGCAUUCGAUCUUGCAAUGGCACUAUCAUUUAGAGAACUUUGCAGUGUAAAACCACUCAAUCAAGCUACCGAAUAAUUUCACGUUCUCUAUUGAACCACUUCCUUUCUCAGUUGAAGAGACAGAGUAUAAGUACAUUGUGGUGUUCAACAACAUGAUGAGUAGGAUAUCUCAGAAGUAGUUUAGCGAGCCAGUGUUCAUUUUGUUGUCAAAUGGGAAAGUGCAUAUGAAGAAUAGUUGACUCCUAACUAAUCAAAACACAUAAUUUCUUAAAAAUGAUUAUACUCCAAUCAAGACAACGUGAAUUUCAGAGUUCUAGCAACUUUAAUAAGAUUACAAGAAAUGGGGACUUGGGCGAAGUCGAGCUUUACCAAAUCAUAUCGGGACUGGGGCGAGGCGAAGCCGAGCUUUACCAAAUCAUAUCGGAACUGGGGCGAGGUGAAACCGAGCUUUACCAAAUCAUAUCGGGACUGGACCGAAGCGAUCCGAACUUUACCAAAUCAAAUGGGGACUGGGGCGAGGCAAAGCCGAGCUUUACCAAAUACAAAAUAUGGUUCAAAGAAAGAGGCAUUGAUGCAUUGUAUUUGUAGUUGUAGAUUGAAUUGGUGAACCAAGUUUGAGAAGCUCCUGGGCGUAGCAUGGGCAAACUUAUUUGAAAACUGUGUUUGUUCAAAACAAGGCCAUCUUGUUUAAAAGCUUUGAUUUUUUUUUCUUUGGCAAGAGGCAACCACUAAAUUUGCUCACGUAGACUUGGUAACAAAUUUGAACUGUUUAGAAACUGAAAAGUGAAAACCACAG